UUCGUUUGGGUUCGACGACAGGGAUCUGAAGCUGACGGUGUUGAGUCACAUUCACAAUUAUGACAAGGAAGUAGAUGCAUGAGGAAUAGCAUUUUACUAGAAAUACGCAAAUGUAUUUCUUAUAUAUCACACACAACAUGAUUGUCAGCUAAGAAAUUCUACCACCAUUUGUACAAGAUCGGUGAAAGAGGAACAGGUCAGCGUAUCAAACAUUUUGAUAUGCACAUUCCUGGAUGUUAACGAAUUUGUUCUCAGCUGUAGUCGCCACUUUUUGUGAUUCAACAUUGUAAUAAUGAUUAUGCGAAUGCAGAGAUCCUUGUACACGAAACCAUCCCGUAAGAAUGUCCGGGGGACGAAUCACACGAACGGGUACUUACCUGAAAAGAAGAAACAAGAAAUUCAGAAUCACUUCAAUCUUCACUUGCUUAGUAUACAUAUGCAAUUAUGCAUUAACACUACAAAUCCUACAAACUGAACGCUACGAAUACAAUAAAAACUGAAUCCUACAAACACUAUACAUAACCACGCAGUAUUAGCAUUUCAGCUGUACAGCACUGAUAAUCGGCUUGUAAAGUAUCUCAUCGACUACCAUUGUCAUUGAGUGAUAAAACACUCAACAUGAUUAAGGCAUCAUAGAGAAAGCCACACACCGCUUUGAUUGUCCCCUCUCUCGUUCUGGGGAACCAUAAUUGUAAUUUAUGAAAGUACGUCAUC